UCUCGAUCGCGUCAAAGUUAACGCAAAUUUGUAUAGAGCUGGAACGUUUGCCUACGUUUGCCGCUAGGGGCGCUGUUCCAAUUCCAUACAAAUUUUUAAGUUAACUUUUACGCUAUCGA
rnacentral:pre_miRNA from 9 species